rnacentral:tRNA from 1 species
UACAGUGUGGCUCAGUGGCAGAACAUUUGCUUGACAUGCAGAGGGUCUUCAGUUCAAUCCCUGGCAUUUCCAGUUAA